AGACAGCAGCAGCCGCGGUAAUACGUAGGUCCCGAGCGUUGUCCGGAUUUAUUGGGCGUAAAGGGAGCGCAGGCGGCUUAGUAAGUCUGAAGUUAAAGGCAUUGGCUCAACCAAUGUAUGCUUUGGAAACUGUUAGACUUGAGUGCAGAAGGGGAGAGUGGAAUUCCAUGUGUAGCGGUGAAACGCGUAGAUAUAUGGAGGAACACCGGUGGCGAAAGCGGCUCUCUGGUCUGUCACUGACGCUGAGGCUCGAAAGCGUGGGUAGCGAACAGGAUUAGAUACCCCCGUAGUCCCUGUCUCUUAUACA
rnacentral:rRNA from 1 species